ensembl:lncRNA
CCAGGAGUUAGGUGGGGUCAUGGUGAAAUAAAACUCUUCACUGUGGUGUUUCCUAAAGUUGCUCUGCCUUUGGGAUGUGGAUGAGUACUUAGUGGAUACGUCCAUGACUGGUCAAGACCGCAAAGAGUUUCCUCAAACAGACUGAAUACUAAUAUAGAUUAUUGCCUUCUGGAGAAUUGUCAAUGGUAAAACUCUCAUGCACGACGGCUUCACUCUCUCUACAACUACUUUCCAGCUGUUUGUCAGAGCUGGCUGGAUGUCCUGGACCUGACCUGAAUGGCCACCACUGUGAAGCCCAGCUAUCUAUUCUGUAUCCGUUGGACGGAGAACUGAUAAGGGCAUGUGUCUGACACUUUCCGCCAAUGAUAGAGAGAGAGCUGGACACAACAUGGUACCACAACGGAAAACUCUCUCCUGUCCAGCAGCAGCUUUACUACACUACCUGUAUCUCUAACCGGGUCAUCUGGGCAACUGAAGUUAUGUCUACUGCAGUUUCAACGUGCUUCAACCUAUUCAUAACACUUGUUUGCUUAUUUUUCUCAGAAAACUCAUAAUAAUUUUUUCAGAAAAAAAAUCCUGGAAGCAAUUCUCUGAAUGGAUGUAUUUUGUGUAUCCCUUCUUUUCUCUUGUUUGAAAAAACGUGGUGACUCAUACUAGCAUCGACAGCAACUUCAUUCUAUGUAGAGGUAAGUCUUCUAUCACUAUGCUUUACAAAGUCAAUAACAAUCCAAGUCCUCCAGCCUCAUGAAAGUUGAAGAUUAGCUAGGAUAAAAAUAAAAUAUAUGCACAAUCUGGUAUCUGAAUGAGCACAUUAGCCACCUUUACUAAUCUUAACCUUUUAUGUGUCUGGAGGACGUGGAUUGUUAUUGUAUAUUGUCUUAUAUGAUCACAUAAUCAUUGCUGAUACAUAAUCAUAAACAUGAUAAACGUGAGUAAAGGUGGCUAAUUUGCUCAUUCAGAAACCAGAUUGUGCAUCUGUUGUAUAUUGUAAUGUAAUCCAGAAGGCUGGAUUCAGCCUGUUGGAUCCAGGCAGGACCUAGAGUUGGAGACAACAUGGGCCUCUAAUUCAAAGUUCACUGCAUGAAUAGAUUGCCUGCCACACACGGGAGAGACUGAACUGGAGAUGGGUCCUGUGAGAGAGAGAGCAUUCCUGAGACUGUGGUGGCAGGCAUUAUCUCAGAGCAGCAGCGCAGACAAUCAGGUUUGGCAUACAUAAAGGCCCCAGGGCACACAUGAAAGGGUUUUCUCGAAAACCCAAAGCACCCUUCAAAUCAUGGUGUCAAGGUUGAUGUAAUAUUUCAAUGAUGCAUGAGCGUCAUGAUGUCAAAACAAAUUAAUAAAAGAUGACAAGAUGCUAUGUAGUUUUCAGGUAAACAUGAUAGAUAUCCUGCUGAAAAUGAUGACAAUAAAAA